AUUGAACGCUGGCGGCAGGCCUAACACAUGCAAGUCGAGCGGAUGAAGGGAGCUUGCUCCUGGAUUCAGCGGCGGACGGGUGAGUAAUGCCUAGGAAUCUGCCUGGUAGUGGGGGAUAACGUCCGGAAACGGGCGCUAAUACCGCAUACGUCCUGAGGGAGAAAGUGGGGGAUCUUCGGACCUCACGCUAUCAGAUGAGCCUAGGUCGGAUUAGCUAGUUGGUGGGGUAAAGGCCUACCAAGGCGACGAUCCGUAACUGGUCUGAGAGGAUGAUCAGUCACACUGGAACUGAGACACGGUCCAGACUCCUACGGGAGGCAGCAGUGGGGAAGAUUGGACAAUGGGCGAAAGCCUGAUCCAGCCAUGCCGCGGGUGUGAAGAAGGUCUUCGGAUUGUAAAGCACUUUAAGGUGGGAGGAAGGGCAGUAAGUUAAUACCUUGCUGUUUUGACGGUACCAACAGAAUAAGCACCGGCUAACUUCGUG
rnacentral:rRNA from 1 species